GGUUAAGCGACUAAGCGUACACGGUGGAUGCCCUGGCAGUCAGAGGCGAUGAAGGGCGUGCUAAUCUGCGAUAAGCGCCGGUAAGGUGAUAUGAACCGUUAUAACCGGCGAUACCCGAAUGGGGAAACCCAGUGUGACUCGUCACACUAUCAUUAACUGAAUCCAUAGGUUAAUGAGGCGAACCGGGGGAACUGAAACAUCUAAGUACCCCGAGGAAAAGAAAUCAACCGAGAUUCCCCCAGUAGCGGCGAGCGAACGGGGAGGAGCCCAGAGCCUGAAUCAGCAUGUGUGUUAGUGGAAGCGUCUGGAAAGGCGCGCGAUACAGGGUGACAGCCCCGUACACAAAAGCGCAUGUGCUGUGAGCUCGAUGAGUAGGGCGGGACACGUGGUAUCCUGUCUGAAUAUGGGGGGACCAUCCUCCAAGGCUAAAUACUCCUGACUGACCGAUAGUGAACCAGUACCGUGAGGGAAAGGCGAAAAGAACCCCGGCGAGGGGAGUGAAAAAGAACCUGAAACCGUGUACGUACAAGCAGUGGGAGCACCCUUUGGGGUGUGACUGCGUACCUUUUGUAUAAUGGGUCAGCGACUUAUAUUCUGUAGCAAGGUUAACCGAAUAGGGGAGCCGGAGGGAAACCGAGUCUUAACCGGGCGUUAAGUUGCAGGGUAUAGACCCGAAACCCGGUGAUCUAGCCAUGGGCAGGUUGAAGGUUGGGUAACACUAACUGGAGGACCGAACCGACUAAUGUUGAAAAAUUAGCGGAUGACCUGUGGCUGGGGGUGAAAGGCCAAUCAAACCGGGAGAUAGCUGGUUCUCCCCGAAAGCUAUUUAGGUAGCGCCUCGUGAAUUCAUCUCCGGGGGUAGAGCACUGUUUCGGCUAGGGGGCCAUCCCGGCUUACCAACCCGAUGCAAACUGCGAAUACCGGAGAAUGUUAUCACGGGAGACACACGGCGGGUGCUAACGUCCGUCGUGAAGAGGGAAACAACCCAGACCGCCAGCUAAGGUCCCAAAGUCAUGGUUAAGUGGGAAACGAUGUGGGAAGGCCCAGACAGCCAGGAUGUUGGCUUAGAAGCAGCCAUCAUUUAAAGAAAGCGUAAUAGCUCACUGGUCGAGUCGGCCUGCGCGGAAGAUGUAACGGGGCUAAACCAUGCACCGAAGCUGCGGCAGCGACGCUGAUGCGUUGUUGGGUAGGGGAGCGUUCUGUAAGCCUGCGAAGGUGGCCUGUGAGGGUUGCUGGAGGUAUCAGAAGUGCGAAUGCUGACAUAAGUAACGAUAAAGCGGGUGAAAAGCCCGCUCGCCGGAAGACCAAGGGUUCCUGUCCAACGUUAAUCGGGGCAGGGUGAGUCGACCCCUAAGGCGAGGCCGAAAGGCGUAGUCGAUGGGAAACGGGUUAAUAUUCCCGUACUUGGUGUUACUGCGAAGGGGGGACGGAGAAGGCUAUGUUGGCCGGGCGACGGUUGUCCCGGUUUAAGCGUGUAGGUGUGUGUUCCAGGUAAAUCCGGUU
rnacentral:rRNA from 1 species